GACGAACCGAGCGAACGUUGUUCGGAAUCACUGGGCUUAAAGGGCGCGUAGGCGGGCUGCCAAGUCUGGGGUGAAAUCCCGCGGCUCAACCGUGGAACUGCCUCAGAUACUGGCGGCCUCGAGGGAGGUAGGGGCGAGCGGAACUAAUGGUGGAGCGGUGAAAUGCGUUGAUAUCAUUAGGAACUCCGGUGGCGAAGGCGGCUCGCUGGACCUUUUCUGACGCUGAGGCGCGAAAGCUAGGGGAGCAAGCGGG
rnacentral:rRNA from 1 species